GACUGAUCCCAGAUCGGCCUCCUCCCACUUGCAGGAGUCGGUCAUUCAUCCUUUAUGAGCGCAAGAGGAGCCUCCUGUUGGCAGCUCGUGUCAAUCUGACAACCCACCGGUGGUGACUAUUUGAUGUCUCAGCAAGAUGCUGCCGAGGUCUCUGAACCUCACACAGGGAUAACUUUUUAUAAGGCACUUUCUCAAAAGUGCAGCCUGAUGGGACGUGGUAGGACCAGGGCCAAACGAAAAAUGAUUUUACACCUAGAUCGACUGCACUAUUUGUUGACAACUAUUAUAUGAAGGUGAAGAGAAGGAGACGCUGUAACUACGGUGACGUCGACGUCAGCAACAUGCGGCUGUGAUUCUCCAGGCGGAAGUCGCAACCAUAAGCUCUCAAACUGCCUGAGGUUUACAUCGUUUACUGUUGCUCUAAUCGAUUAAACCGAGCAAUCGCAAUAAGUUGUUAUCGUGUACUGAAAAUGAUCGUUAAUAAAGAGGGAAAUGCAAGAAACUGACAAAUGCCGUCAGCAGACGAUCAACAAAGACAUGCAGAUGGUGCCGAGGCCUUGAUAGAGCUCCAUGAGCCCGACGAAAAUCCAGAGCCGGAGGACAUCAGGGAGAUGUUACACAAUCUUCAAGUGGUCUCCAGAGUUAUAUCAGCUAAAAGCAGCAGUUCUGAACAUUUAUAAAAGACACUUGUCUUGA